AUUGAACGCUGGCGGCAGGCCUAACACAUGCAAGUCGAGCGGAUGAAGGGAGCUUGCUCCUGGAUUCAGCGGCGGACGGGUGAGUAAUGCCUAGGAAUCUGCCUGGUAGUGGGGGAUAACGUCCGGAAACGGGCGCUAAUACCGCAUACGUCCUGAGGGAGAAAGUGGGGGAUCUUCGGACCUCACGCUAUCAGAUGAGCCUAGGUCGGAUUAGCUAGUUGGUGGGGUAAAGGCCUACCAAGGCGACGAUCCGUAACUGGUCUGAGGGGAUGAUCAGUCAACCGGAACGUGAGACCCGUCCCGAACCCUCACGGAGGGAGGCGGGGGGGAAUUUUGGCAAAGGGGGGAAACCCUACUCCCGCCCUGCCCGGGGUUGGAAAAGGGUUUUCGGUUUGAAAAGCCCUUUAAGUGGGGAGAAAGGGCAGUAAAUUAAUACCUUGCUGUUUGGACGUUACCAACAAAAAAGGCACCGGUAAACUCGUU
rnacentral:rRNA from 1 species